AUGUGAAAUCCCCGGGCUCAACCUGGGAACUGCAUCUGAUACUGGCAAGCUUGAGUCUCGUAGAGGGGGGUAGAAUUCCAGGUGUAGCGGUGAAAUGCGUAGAGAUCUGGAGGAAUACCGGUGGCGAAGGCGGCCCCCUGGACGAAGACUGACGCUCAGGUGCGAAAGCGUGGGGAGCAAACAGGAUUAGAUACCCUGGUAGUCCACGCCGUAAACGAUGUCGACUUGGAGGUUGUGCCCUUGAG
rnacentral:rRNA from 1 species